CGGCUAUCAAACAAAAUUUUACAUGUCAUGUAUAGCACGCUACUGCUGAUGGCUGUCUAUUUUCUGAUGAUGAUUAUAUGUGGCACUCUGCAUGCAAAUUGCCCACCGCAAAGAAUCCUAGGUUAACUGCUCCUAGUCAGGUAUUUCCAUUGGCUUGUAAAAGGUGCACCAUAUCCGCGGUACACCAUGCCAAUCCGAUUUUAACACAUGAUCAGGUGUGCCACGUCAAAUUAAGAUGAGGGAGAAGAGAGUCGCUCCUCUUUCUCCUCCUAAUGAGAAAACCCUAGCACUCAUCCCUGAAUCUUAACCGUCUCUUCUCCUCCUCCUCCUCCUCCUCCUCCUCCUCCGCCAUAGCCGUGGUCGCUGCUGCGGUCUCCUCCUCCAUUGCCAUCGCUGUCUUCUUCACAUCAUCUCUCGUUUUCUCUUUCUUCGCCUUCUCCGUAGCUAUGGCGGCGGUGGCACGAUCUCCGGUGGUCGAACGAUGACCUCAUCCUCUUGCCUUGUCUCCAUCCUAGGAGCGCCGCGAGACUCGUCGUUAACCAGUUCCUUGCGUUCCUCUGAGCGAAUGAGCUCUAUGGUGGAGACGAUGCUCAAUUUCCUCUCCCUCCUUUGCCAUUUCACCUCCUCGAUCUUCCGCCAGAUUCGCCUCGUCCUCUGCCGCAGCUCCAUCCACGGCUCCAGCUUCCACUGUCCGUGACCCAUCAGAGAAUCAAGGUGAGAGAGAGAAGAUUGGCGGAGCGUGUUUUCCGAUAGCCGUUGCCGUUUUGGGGUGGGGGUGGUUUUCAGAUGGGGAUAUGAGAUCGGGGCGAUCUUGAUCGUCCGUUGCUGCGGCACAUGAUAGGGAUGGGAAUAAAAACAAAGACAAUCUGUUAAGGCUGACGCCC
rnacentral:lncRNA from 1 species